rnacentral:rRNA from 1 species
AAAUCCUCCCAUGGGUUAGUCGGUCCCUAAGCCAAGGCCGAAAGGCGUAGGUGAUGGUAAGCAGGUUAAUAUUCCUGCACCACUAGGGAUGGCGUUGAAGCAAGCAGGGACGGAGAAGGGUAUGCUGAGCCAGCGAAUGGUUGUGCUGGUUCAAACCUGUAGGUGGUUCACGUAGGACGCGACAGCGACAAACGCGUGAACAGCACAUCGAGAGGUGAUGAGGUGGAGCUCCGGCUUCGAAACUCAGUGAUCCCAUGCUUCCAAGAAAAGCUGCGUGCAGAGCCUCUUUAGUGACCGUACUGCAAACCGACUCAGGUGGGCGGGGUGAAUAUCCCAAGGCGCGUGAGAGAACACUGGCCAAGGAACUCGGCAAAAUGACACCGUAACUUCGGGAGAAGGUGUGCCCGUAGACGUGAAAGGACUUGCUCCUCGAGCGUCCGUGGGUUGCAGAGAAUUGAGGGUAGCGACUGUUUACUAAAAACACAGGACUGUGCGAACUCGUAAGAGGACGUAUACGGUCUGACGCCUGCCCGGUGCUGGAAGGUUAAGGGGAGAUGUCAGCGCAAGCGAAGCAUCGAACCGAAGCCCCAGUAAACGGCGGCCGUAACGAUAACGGUCCUAAGGUAGCGAAAUUCCUUGUCGGGUAAGUUCCGACCUGCACGAAUGGCGUAACGACUUCCCUACUGUCUCGGUCAGUGACUCAGCGAAAUUGUAUUGGGGGUGAAGAUACCCUCUACCCGCGGCAAGACGGAAAGACCCCAUGAACCUUCACUGUAAGUUGGCAGUGAAGUUCGGGUCAGCCUGCGUAGGAUAGGUGGGAGGCUUUGAUGCCGGGAUUCCGGUUUCGGCGGAGCCAACCUUGAAAUACCACCCUGGCUGUUCUGGACUUCUAACCUAGGCCCAUUAUCUGGGUCGGGGACACUGCCUGCUGGGCAGUUUGACUGGGGCGGUCGCCUCCAAAAGAGUAACGGAGGCGCGCGAAGGUUCCCUCAGGCUGAAUGGAAACCAGCCGUAGAGUGCAAAGGCAUAAGGGAGCUUAACUGUGAGACCGACAGGUCGAACAGGUGAGAAAUCAGGUCUUAGUGAUCCGGUGGCACUGCAUGGAAGGGCCAUCGCUCAACGGAUAAAAGGUACUCUGGGGAUAACAGGCUGAUCGCGCCUGAGAGUCCAUAUCGGCGGCGCGGUUUGGCACCUCGAUGUCGGCUCAUCGCAUCCUGGGGCUGGAGCAGGUCCCAAGGGUUUGGCUGUUCGCCAAUUAAAGCGGUACGCGAGCUGGGUUUAGAACGUCGUGAGACAGUUCGGUCCCUAUCUGCCGUGGGCGCAGGAUACUUGAGAGGAGCUAUUCAUAGUACGAGAGGACCUGAAUGGACGCACCCCUAGUGUGCCGGUUGUCACGCCAGUGGCAUAGCCGGGUAGCUAUGUGCGGAACGGAUAACCGCUGAAAGCAUCUAAGCGGGAAGCCGGCCUCAAGAUUAGGUAUCCCGGACGCAAGUCCCUAAAGACCCCACGUAGACUACGUGGUUGAUAGGUCAGGUGUGGAAGCACAGCAAUGUGCGGAGCUAACUGAUACUAAUCGGUCGUGCGGCUUUUCCG